ensembl:lncRNA
AGAAGUUACAUAGAGAAAGCUAGUGCAAAGGCCCUGGAGAGUGAGAAAGGUUCUGAGAGGUGUCGGAAGGUCGGCUACCUCAUCAACUGGCUUCAAGAAAGGCGUGACACCGAGGUUCUGUCCCUGAAGUCAGGACAGGGGUGCUGGCUAGCGUGAGGCCAGAGAGCAGCGUUUGGGCGAUUUUUAUUUUAUUUCAUUUUUUGAUUUGCGCCCUAACUGGCCCCUAGCGAGUAUGGCUUCUGGGCGUGGGCCACCACGCCUUGCGGGCUCAGGCCCCCACUGAGUUUUGGGAGGGGGCUAAGGAAGCGGGUGGCGAGGGGGUUGGGCCUAGAAACCUGCAAACUUCGCCGAGGGAAGGGAGGAGUCUGCACGAGACCCAGCGAGUCUCUCCUGCGGUCAGACGCCCAGCCCUGCUUUUGUCGGCGUGUGUGACCUCAGGGCUGCACCUCGUGGCUCCCAGGCGCUGUGAGACGCGACUGUAGGUGGACAGACCAAUCCCGACCUGAGGAGAGCUUUGGAUGACUUUUUUUCCUUUUAGGAUUUUGAACUUCUGACGCUCUCGCCAGGAAAAGGUGCGC